UACGGAGGGAGCUAGCGUUGUUCGGAAUUACUGGGCGUAAAGCGCGCGUAGGCGGCUUUGUAAGUUAGAGGUGAAAGCCCGGAGCUCAACUCCGGAACUGCCUUUAAGACUGCAUCGCUUGAAUCCAGGAGAGGUGAGUGGAAUUCCGAGUGUAGAGGUGAAAUUCGUAGAUAUUCGGAAGAACACCAGUGGCGAAGGCGGCUCACUGGACUGGUAUUGACGCUGAGAUGCGAAAGCGUGGGGAGCAAACAGG
rnacentral:rRNA from 1 species